CCUACGGGAGGCAGCAGUGAGGAAUAUUGGUCAAUGGACGAGAGUCUGAACCAGCCAAGUCGCGUGAAGGAAGACUGCCCUAUGGGUUGUAAACUUCUUUUGUACGGGAGUAAAUGGAGGCACGUGUGUCUGUUUGCAAGUAUCUUACGAAUAAGGAUCGGCUAACUCCGUGCCAGCAGCCGCGGUAAUACGGAGGAUCCGAGCGUUAUACGGAUUUAUUGGGUUUAAAGGGAGCGUAGGUGGGUUGUUAAGUCAGUUGUGAAAGUUUGCGGCUCAACCGUAAAAUUGCAGUUGAUACUGGCAGUCUUGAGUACAGUAGAGGUAGGCGGAAUUCGUGGUGUAGCGGUGAAAUGCUUAGAUAUCACGAAGAACCCCGAUUGCGAAGGCAGCAUACUGGACUGUAACUGACGUUGAUGCUCGAAAGUGUGGGUAUCAAACAGGAUUAGAUACCCCUGUAGUC
rnacentral:rRNA from 1 species